UAGUCCUGAAGAAAUGUUACCAUCAG
rnacentral:piRNA from 1 species